rnacentral:rRNA from 1 species
UGGGGAAUAUUGCACAAUGGGCGCAAGCCUGAUGCAGCCAUGCCGCGUGUGUGAAGAAGGCCUUCGGGUUGUAAAGCACUUUCAGCGAGGAGGAAGGUGGUGAACUUAAUACGUUCAUCAAUUGACGUUACUCGCAGAAGAAGCACCGGCUAACUCCGUGCCAGCAGCCGCGGUAAUACGGAGGGUGCAAGCGUCAAUCGGAAUUACUGGGCGUAAAGCGCACGCAGGCGGUUUGUUAAGUCAGAUGUGAAAUCCCCGGGCUCAACCUGGGAACUGCAUUUGAAACUGGCAAGCUAGAGUCUCGUAGAGGGGGGUAGAAUUCCAGGUGUAGCGGUGAAAUGCGUAGAGAUCUGGAGGAAUACCGGUGGCGAAGGCGGCCCCCUGGACGAAGACUGACGCUCAGGUGCGAAAGCGUGGGGCAGCAAACAGGAUUAGAUACCCUGGUAGUCCACGCUGUAAACGAUGUCGAUUUGGAGGUUGUGCCCUUGAGGCGUGGCUUCCGGAGCUAACGCGUUAAAUCGACCGCCUGGGGAGUACGGCC